ensembl:lncRNA
CACUGUGCCAAUGAUGUUGCCUUGUGGGAUUUUCUAGCAAUGACAGGAGAAUCUACAUAUCUUUGAGCCCAUGGGUUUCUCUUUGGUCGUGACAGCCAGAGGAAAGAGACUCCUCCCUUAUUUCCAGAGAAUGGUAAAGAAGCAUUGCCAGCCAUGUUGGCACACAGCUGGAGUGGGAGGCUGAGGCAGAAGGAUCCCCUGUGGUCCUAGUCAAAACCUUGUGGAGAACUGUACAGAAAGGCCAUCCCAAGCCUCUGCCUGCAAGACGAGGGCAGUUUUGGUCCACAGCGGGUCUCCUGGCUGGCUGUAUCCCCAUCGCUGUUAUUCACCGUUUGGCAGCAGCAGGGCAGAGAGCCCAGCUCGCCAAGAGCUUGUUGGACUCCUGAGACCUGGUGGGAGGGCAUCACUUACGUCUGGUCAAGGAAACAAGAACAUAAUAAUCAGGAGUCCCAGGAUCUUACAGGAAGCAGGAGGAGCCAAGGAAAGAAGGGGAGAGAAAGGUGAUAAAUCCAGGCAAGGAUUGCUGUGGAGCAAAUGCCUGCCUUGGGCAAUAAAGACUCCGCAUCUCUGUCCCCGUUGUCGCCAGUCAAGAGACGAGACGCAGCUCAAGGGCACUUGGGAAGAGAGGUUCUGUUUUGCUCACUGCCCAGAAUAGUGCCUGGCACAUAGCAGCUGCUCACUAAACGAUUUUUGGAUGGAAAGAGAGUCCUGCAUAGGCGCUAGCAUACACACUGCCUCAUUUGGACCUCAGCCCCAUUUUACAGGGAUUGAACUCGGGACCUUUUGCUUGUGCUUGAGAGGCAGCUGGCAAAACCACUGAGCUAAAUCCUGGCCUGUUGGUUGAUUUCUUGAUAGCAGCCAUCCUUUCUGGAGUGAGGUGGAAUCUCAGCUUUGUUUUUGUUUGUAUCUCUCGGAUGACCAGUGAUGUUGAACAUUUUUUCAUGUUUAUUUGCAGUUUCUACUUCUUUGAGAAAUGUCUGUUCAUUUCAGAUGCCCAUUUUUGGACUGGGUCUUUAAAUUUGGGAGGUCUAAUUUUUUUUAAGUUCUUAAUAUAUUCUAGAUAGUAGACCUUUGUCUGGGGGGUAGGGGAAAGGAAAGAAGGAAAAGAAAAAAAUGAAAACAAAGUCUUUGU